AAAAUCUCACUUUAAAAUGGCACCUGCCACCUUCCUAGCUGAGGAACAGACCCUGCCUAGCCAGCAUGGCUACAGCUUAAGAGCUACUCUCCUGGCAGCGCCUACCACUGCAGCAGCCCACAAUAGCCAGCCAGCCCAAAGGCUGACCCCACCAGCAAUGACAGCCCAGCAACAAGCAGAAAACAGCUCACCUACUGAGGAAGAAAUCCCAAAGGCCUUAAAAACUCUAAACACGGCUUUUGGAACAAAUUUCUUACACCCAGAGAGGCCAUGGUCUACUUGCAGCCAAGAUGGGACCCGUUCUACCUGCGGUCAUCUAGAUGAGCCCCAGGCUACCACGACCUGCAAGGAAGGCUCCCAGCACACCGCUCCCUAUGCUGCCAACCCCCUGGCCUACCCAGGCACCACCCCUGAGGCUUGCUUACCUGGCCCGAGGUUUUCUGGAGAAGCCCCAGCGAAGAGCCCCUUCUCCAGCAUUGUUCCUCUUCAAAUGAGCUCUGCACAUGUGCAGAAGGUUUUUGCUCCCCCUCCCAUCUGGGAGGAGCAAUUGCUCACGUCUAGGCCAAUAGGGAACAGGCCUGCUGUUACCAUACCCCUCCCUUAUUGUGCUGACAGAGGAUACCAGCACAAUGGAUACAAAAGUAUCUCUUUUACAGAGGGAAAUGCUAACUUGUUGCCUUUAAGUUUUAAUAAGCUGUCCGUUUCUGGGACAAACUUGCAUGAAUGGGCCAGGGACAUCCAGGUGCUACUAAUGAGGGAAAAUGGGCUUGAUUUACUAAUAAAUCCUCCUCACAAGCCCUGGUCUAUGGAAGUAGACAUGCUUCACCAUAAGUUUUUUUGUCUGAUUCUCCUUUCAAUUGAUCUAGCACUUUACACUAGCAUCUCCCAUGGACUCACUGUAUGUGAGCUUUGGGAAAUUUUAUUUAACAUGUUUAAUUCUAAGAAUUGUAAUGCCACAGCCAGAAUUUCCUGAGAAUUCCAUUCAUCCAAAUUAAGGGCUGGAAUGGAUAUCAAUGAGCACCUCUGUAAUUUAAAGAGGAUGAGGG
rnacentral:lncRNA from 1 species